rnacentral:rRNA from 1 species
GGGCCCGCGUUUCAUUAGCUAGUUGGUAGGGUAAUGGCCUACCAAGGCAACGAUGAGUAGCUGGUCUGAGAGGAUGAUCAGCCACACUGGAACUGAAACACGGUCCAGACUCCUACGGGAGGCAGCAGUGGGGAAUAUUGCGCAAUGGGCGAAAGCCUGACGCAGCAACGCCGUGUGAGGGAUGAAGGCUUUCGGGUCGUAAACCUCUGUCGGAAGGGAAGAACGGGCAUUGGUCUAAUAGGCCUUUGUUUUGACGGUACCUUUAGAGGAAGCACCGGCUAACUCCGUGCCAGCAGCCGCGGUAAUACGGAGGGUGCAAGCGUUAAUCGGAAUUACUGGGCGUAAAGCGCACGUAGGCUGUAGUGUAAGUCAGGGGUGAAAUCCCACGGCUCAACCGUGGAACUGCCUUUGAUACUGCACAACUUGAAUCCGGGAGAGGGUGGCGGAAUUCCAGGUGUAGGAGUGAAAUCCGUAGAUAUCUGGAGGAACAUCAGUGGCGA